rnacentral:rRNA from 1 species
UACGUAGGGGCGAGCGUUGUCCGGAUUUAUUGGGCGUAAAGAGCGAUGUAGGCGGCCAGGUAGGUUCUGCUGUGAAAACUCGAGGCUCAACCCUCGAGACGUCGGCGGAAACCAUCUGGCUAGAGUCCGGAAGGAGGAGAAGUGGAAGUUCCUGGUGGGUAGACGGUUGAAAUGCGCAGAUAUACAGGAAGAACACCCGUGGCGA